rnacentral:rRNA from 1 species
AAUCAUCGAAUCUUUGAACGCACAUUGCGCCCUUUGGUAUUCCGAAGGGCAUGCCUGUUCGAGCGUCAUUAUCACCCCUCAAGCCCCCGGGCUUGGUGUUGGACGGUUUGGUGGAGGCCCCCCUCGUCGGGGUCGCUGCCCCUCCCAAAGACAAUGACGGCGGCCUCGUUGGACCCCCGGUACACUGAGUUCUUCACGGGACACGUACUGGACACAAGGGUGCGCGGGGCACGGUCUGCCUCCCCUCUAGGGAGAAUUAUCUCAAGGUUGACCUCGGAUCAGGUAGGGAUACCCGCUGAACUUAAGCAUAUCAAUAAGCGGAGGAA